AUUGAACGCUGGCGGCAGGCCUAACACAUGCAAGUCGAACGGUAACAGGAAGAAGCUUGCUUCUUUGCUGACGAGUGGCGGACGGGUGAGUAAUGUCUGGGAAACUGCCUGAUGGAGGGGGAUAACUACUGGAAACGGUAGCUACUACCGCAUAACGUCGCAAGACCAAAAAGGGGGACCUUCGGGCCUCUUGCCAUCGGAUGUGCCCAGAUGGGAUUAGCUAGUAGGUGGGGUAACGGCUCACCUAGGCGACGAUCCCUAGCUGGUCUGAGAGGAUGACCAGCCACACUGGAACUGAGACACGGUCCAGACUCCUACGGGAGGCAGCAGUGGGGAAUAUUGCACAAUGGGCGCAAGCCUGAUGCAGCCAUGCCGCGUGUAUGAAGAAGGCCUUCGGGUUGUAAAGUACUUUCAGCGGGGAGGAAGGGAGUAAAGUUAAUACCUUUGCUCAUUGACGUUACCCGCAGAAGAAGCACCGGCUAACUCCGUG
rnacentral:rRNA from 1 species